rnacentral:misc_RNA from 1 species
AACGCAUCUUGCGCUCCUUGGUAUUCCGAGGAGCAUGCCUGUUUGAGUGUCAUUAAAUUCUCAACUACACAGAUUUUUUGUGUAGCUUGGAUUUGGGUAUUGCAGGCUUUUGUAAAUAAAGUUGGCUCCCCUGAAAUUCAUUAGCAGGGCUUAACUUUGUAGAAUUGGAUCUACAGGUGUGAUAAAUUUAUCUAUGCCUUGGAUGGUCUGCAUGCAAAAGGUUUAACCUGCUUCUAAUAUUGUCUCUCUCUGAGGCGUUUAUUGACAAUUUUGACCUCAAAUCAGGUAGGAUUACCCGCUGAACUUAA